rnacentral:misc_RNA from 1 species
GAUGAAGAACGUAGCGAAAUACGGUAAGUAGUGUGAAUUGCAGAAUUCAGUGAAUCAUCGAAUCUUUGAACGCACAUUGCGCCCCUUGGUAUCCCGAGGGGCAUGCCUGUUCGAGCGUCAUUUCACCACUCAAGCCUGGCUUGGUGUUGGGCGACGUCCCCUUUGGGGACGCGCCUCGAAACGCUCGGCGGCGUGGCACCGGCUUUAAGCGUAGCAGAAUCUUUCGCUUUGGAAGUCGGGGCCCCGUCUGCCGGAAGACCUACUCGCAAGGUUGACCUCGGAUCAGGCAGGGAUACCCGCUGAACUUAAGCAUAUCAAUAAGCGGAGGA